rnacentral:rRNA from 1 species
UACGGAGGAUCCAAGCGUUAUCCGGAAUCAUUGGGUUUAAAGGGAGCGUAGGCGGGUUUAUAAGUCAGUGGUGAAAGCCGAUCGCUUAACGAUCGAACUGCCAUUGAUACUGUAAGCCUAGAGUACAGAUGAUGUUGGCGGAAUAUGACAUGUAGCGGUGAAAUGCAUAGAUAUGUCAUAGAACACCGAUUGCGAAGGCAGCUGACAAAACUGUAACUGACGCUGAGGCUCGAAAGUGCGGGGAUCAAACAGG